ACUCAAAUGAAUAGACGGGGACCCGCACAAGCGGAGGAUGAUGUGGUUUAAUAUGACGAUACGCGUAGAACCUUACCCAGGCUUGACAUCCUUGGAACCCGCUAGAGAUAGUGGGGUGCCUUUUGGAACCAAGUGACAGGUGCUGCAUGGCCGUCGUCAGCUCGUGUCGUGAGAUGUUGGGUUAAGUCCCGCAACGAGCGCAACCCUUAUCGUAUGUUGUAUUUUUCAUGCGAGACUGCCCGAGGUAAUCGGGAGGAAGGUGGGGAUGAGGUCAGGUCUGCAUGGCCCUUACGCCUGGGGCCACACACGUCAUACAAUGGCCGGUACAACGCGUUGCCAAGCCGCAAGGCGGAGCUAAUCGCACCAAAACCGGUCCCAGUUCGGAUUGGGGGCUGCAACUCGCCCCCAUGAAGUCGGAUUCGCUAGUAAACGCAGGUCAGCACACUGCGUUGAAUACGUUCCCGGGUCUUGCACACACCGCCCGU
rnacentral:rRNA from 1 species